UUUAGUGGCGGGACGGGUGAGUAACGCGGUGGGUAACCUGCCUUACACGAGGGGAUAACACUUAGAAAUAGGUGCUAAAACCGCAUAAGCGCACAGCUUCGCAUGAAGCGGUGUGAAAAACUCCGGUGGUGUAAGAUGGACCCGCGUCUGAUUAGCUUGUUGGCGGGGUAACGGCCCACCAAGGCGACGAUCAGUAGCCGGCCUGAGAGGGCGGACGGCCACAUUGGGACUGAGACACGGCCCAGACUCCUACGGAAGGCAGCAG
rnacentral:rRNA from 1 species